CGAUCUGCCGCCCGGGUCAGGCCUUUCCGCACCGCAGCUGGUCCUUCACCUCCACCUGCAGCGCCCGAAACCCCCUGUGCUCCUGUGGGGCCAUCUUGGGCCCGGACUGAACUGGGAAAGGGACACACCCUGUCACCAUGGAUGACUGUCAGAUGGAGAGCGAAAUCACGAGGACGGAAAGCCCAAACGGAAGAGGUGUCCUGCGCCAAGGUGCCGCCCUGAGUGGGCCUAACCUCAGCCUACCUGGAACAGCGUGGUGGAGGCUUGCGGGGAGGAUGCACCGAAAAGGCCCAAGAAACCCGUGGCUGCCAUCACAGUCAGCACUACGUCCCGCCAAUGUCCAGGGGACCCCUCUGCAUCCCACCCACCAUCACCCCAAAGUCUUUCCCUUGCGAAGGGGCUCUGGGCUUCAGCUGCUGACUUGACAGAUUUCUUUCCUUUGCUUAGGAAAGGGGUCUCUGUGUCCCUCUCACCUUCUAAGGUUUUGUCCACCUUUGGGUUGGGGAUGGGGAGAAGAGCCCUCUGCUUCUCUGACCUUCUGAGGGCAUUUUCAGCUUCUUGUUCUUGGAUGGGGGAUGUCUGUGAAGGUCAGAAAUGGGGCACUGUGGCCAGGUGUGGUGGCUCACGCCUGUAAUCCCAACACUUUGGGAGGCUGAGGCAGGUGGAUCACAUGAGAACAGGAGUUUGAGACCAGCCUGGCCAACAUGGUGAAACUGUCUCUCCCUAUCUCUCCUAUUUCAUUCCACUGGAAGGGGAGUGUGUGUGUGUCCCAGAGGGACAGGGCCCCG
rnacentral:lncRNA from 1 species